rnacentral:rRNA from 1 species
UACGUAGGGUGCAAGCGUUGUCCGGAAUUAUUGGGCGUAAAGAGCUCGUAGGCGGUUUGUUGCGUCGGCUGUGAAAUCCCGAGGCUCAACCUCGGGUCUGCAGUCGAUACGAGCAAACUAGAGUGUUGCAGGGGAGACUGGAAUUCCUGGUGUAGCGGUGAAAUGCGCAGAUAUCAGGAGGAACACCGGUGGCGAAGGCGGGUCUCUGGGCAGUAACUGACGUGAGGAGCGAAAGCGUGGGGAGCGAACAGG